CAGAGAAAUGGUUCUAAAGUAUAAGCCAAUUAUACGGGCGAAACUGCGAAUGGCUCAUUAUAUAAGUUAUCGUUUAUUUGAUAGUAUCUUGCUACUUGGAUAACCGUGGUAAUUCUAGAGCUAAUACAUGCUAAAAAUCCCGACUUCGGAAGGGAUGUAUUUAUUAGAUUAAAAACCAAUGCCCUCUGGGCUCUCUUGGUGAAUCAUGAUAACUUCUCGAAUCGCAGGGCCUUGCGCCGGCGAUGGUUCAUUCAAAUUUCUUCCCUAUCAACUUUCGAUGUUUGGGUAGUGGCCAAACAUGGUUGCAACGGGUAACGGAGGGUUAGGGCUCGACCCCGGAGAAGGAGCCUGAGAAACGGCUACUACAUCCAAGGAAGGCAGCAGGCGCGCAAAUUACCCAAUCCCGAUCCGGGGAGGUAGUGACAAUAAAUACUGAUACAGGGCUCUUUUGGGUCUUGUAAUUGGAAUGAGUACAAUUUAAAUCCCUUAACGAGGAACAAUUGGAGGGCAAGUCUGGUGCCAGCAGCCGCGGUAAUUCCAGCUCCAAUAGCGUAUAUUAAAGUUGUUGUGGUUAAAAAGCUCGUAGUUGAACCUUGGGCCUGGCUGGCCGGUCCGCCUCACCGCGUGCACUGGUCCGGCCGGGCCUUUCCCUCUGUGGAACCCCAUGCCCUUCACUGGGUGUGGCGGGGAAACAGGACUUUUACUUUGAAAAAAUUAGAGUGCUCCAGGCAGGCCUAUGCUCGAAUACAUUAGCAUGGAAUAAUGAAAUAGGACGUGCGGUUCUAUUUUGUUGGUUUCUAGGACCGCCGUAAUGAUUAAUAGGGACAGUCGGGGGCAUCAGUAUUCAAUUGUCAGAGGUGAAAUUCUUGGAUUUAUUGAAGACUAACUACUGCGAAAGCAUUUGCCAAGGAUGUUUUCAUUAAUCAGGAACGAAAGUUAGGGGAUCGAAGACGAUCAGAUACCGUCGUAGUCUUAACCAUAAACUAUGCCGACUAGGGAUCGGACGAUGUUAUUUUUUGACUCGUUCGGCACCUUACGAGAAAUCAAAGUGCUUGGGCUCCAGGGGGAGUAUGGUCGCAAGGCUGAAACUUAAAGAAAUUGACGGAAGGGCACCACCAGGGGUAAACCUGACCUGUGAAGCCGCAGUCAACUCUGCUCCAGAAAGCCGCCCGAAAGGGUCGGUGGUGUUCCUAGGGGAGAGCUCUCCCCUAAACUAAUGGCUAGUCCUGCCGCCCGCGGCAGGGCGACACCCUCAAACUGACGGGGAACUCCUAAAGCCCUCGCUCCGGACAGGCGUCGGGAAACCGACGGCCUGCUCACCAGGCUAACGACCUCGGGUAUCGGAAGCAACGCGAGAGGAUGCUACAAUGGACAAUCCGCAGCCAAGCCCCUACGGUGCGGCCUCUACGGGGGUCGCAUACGGGGAAGGUUCAGAGACUUGACGGGGGUGGGUGGCGCGGGCUCUUGGGGUGCAAGCCGCGUGCUUGCUUGCAGGCCCAGGCGCCCGCCGCUGCCUAAGAUAAAGUCCGGGCGUGCGCGAAAGCGUGCGCGGCAACCACGCAACCCGCCGUUUCCAGCGGGUGCGAGGCCCCAGAAGUAAAAACAACCGGGAGCCUGCGGCUUAAUUUGACUCAACACGGGGAAACUCACCAGGUCCAGACACAAUGAGGAUUGACAGAUUGAGAGCUCUUUCUUGAUUUUGUGGGUGGUGGUGCAUGGCCGUUCUUAGUUGGUGGAGUGAUUUGUCUGCUUAAUUGCGAUAACGAACGAGACCUUAACCUGCUAAAUAGCCCGUAUUGCUUUGGCAGUACGCCGGCUUCUUAGAGGGACUAUCGGCUCAAGCCCAAGGAAUG
rnacentral:rRNA from 1 species